rnacentral:tmRNA from 1 species
GGGGCCGACCUGGUUUCGACGUGGGUGCGGAUGCGGGAUAGGGCAUGUCGAGCACCAGUUCGCUCGUAAAUCCACUGGAAAAAAACUAACUGCAAACGACGAAUCGUUCGCACUCGCCGCUUAACACCGGUGAGCCUCUCAACAGUUGGCCUAUGGGCUGGGUUUGAGUCGCAAGACAAGAGCUGAGAGGUCAUUCACAUAGGCUGGACUUCAUGCGGGUCACUCGCAUGGGGUCAAGAUUAAGUGACUGGCUGAUCUGGUAGCGUGCUUCUGCGCGAUCAGGUUGACGAGAUUCAAAUCAGACAGCUAAGCAUGUAGAUCUACUCGUUGAUGGCUUACGGACGGGGGUUCAAUUCCCCCCGGCUCCACCA